rnacentral:rRNA from 1 species
AGAACGAACGCUGGCGGCAUGCCUAACACAUGCAAGUCGAACGAGACCUUCGGGUCUAGUGGCGCACGGGUGCGUAACGCGUGGGAAUCUGCCCUUAGGUACGGAAUAACAGUGAGAAAUUACUGCUAAUACCGUAUGAUGUCUUCGGACCAAAGAUUUAUCGCCUAGGGAUGAGCCCGCGUUGGAUUAGCUAGUUGGUGGGGUAAAGGCCUACCAAGGCGACGAUCCAUAGCUGGUCUGAGAGGAUGAUCAGCCACACUGGGACUGAGACACGGCCCAGACUCCUACGGGAGGCAGCAGUGGGGAAUAUUGGACAAUGGGCGAAAGCCUGAUCCAGCAAUGCCGCGUGAGUGAAGAAGGCCUUCGGGUGUAAAGCUCUUUUACCCGGGAAGAUAAUGACUGUACCGGGAGAAUAAGCCCGGCUAACUCCGCGCCAGCAGCCGC